rnacentral:rRNA from 1 species
AACGAACGCUGGCGGCAUGCCUAACACAUGCAAGUCGAACGAGACCUUCGGGUCUAGUGGCGCACGGGUGCGUAACGCGUGGGAACCUGCCCUUAGGUUCGGAAUAACUCCCCGAAAGGGGUGCUAAUACCGGAUAAUGUCUUCGGACCAAAGAUUUAUCGCCUUUGGAUGGGCCCGCGUUGGAUUAGCUAGUUGGUAGGUUAAAAGCCUACCAAGGCGACGAUCCAUAGCUGGUCUGAGAGGAUGAUCAGCCACACUGGGACUGAGACACGGCCCAGACUCCUCCGGGAGGAGGCAGUGGGAAUAAUUGGACAUGGGGCGAAAGCCUGAUCCGGCAUUGCCGGUUGGGUGAUGAAGGCCUUAGGGUUGUAAAGCUCUUUUACCCGGGAUGUUAUUGCCGGUCCCGGAGGAAUAAGCCCCGCCUACCUCGUG